CUGCAUGGCUGUCGUCAGCUCGUGUCGUGAGAUGUUCGGGUUAAGUCCCGCAACGAGCGCAACCCUUGCCUUUAGUUGCCAGCAGUUCGGCUGGGCACUCUAAAGGGACGUGCCGGUGUUAAACCGGAGGAAGGUGGGGAUGACGUCAAGUCCUCAUGGCCUUUAUGACCAGGGCUACACACGUACUACAAUGGCCGAUACAAAGGGCAGCGACACUGCGAGGUGAAGCCAAUCCCGUAAAAUCGGUCUCAGUCCGGAUUGGGGUCUGCAACUCGACUCCAUGAAGUUGGAAUCGCUAGUAAUCGUGGAUCAGCAUGCCACGGUGAAUACGUUCCCGGGCCUU
rnacentral:rRNA from 1 species